rnacentral:lncRNA from 10 species
UCUGGAAAUCCACUAUCUGGUGAUAGGGAAUUCAGGAGAGGCAGCAGAUUUCCAGGGAGACCUUGUCUUCCAAGAGAAUGUGAGCUGUGAAUGUGUAGGGACAUCAGGCCACAUUUGAAGAGACCAGAGCCUGGCACUGCUGACUUCAGCACUGACCCCAUUCUCUCCAUUGCCUUAAUGGCUUAAGGGUACAGAGAGUACUUAAGCAUUUUGGGAUCUCUUUCAACAUGGAACAUUGAGACAUUCUCUUAAC